GACCUCGGAUCAGGUAGGGAUACCCGCUGAACUUAAGCAUAUCAAUAAGCGGAGGAAAAGAAACCAACAGGGAUUGCCCCAGUAACGGCGAGUGAAGCGGCAAGAGCUCAAAUUUGAAAUCUGGCCUCCCUUGGG
rnacentral:rRNA from 2 species